rnacentral:rRNA from 1 species
GAUUUAAUUAUUAAAAUUUUAAUUUUAAUUUUUUUAGAAAAAAUAUAUUUUAUUUUAUUAUUUAUUUAGAAAAAAUUAUUUUUAUUAUAGAAAAUUAGUAUUGUGAAAGAAAUUGAAUUUAUAUUAUAAAGAAAAAUUAUUUUUGUACCUUGUGUAUCAGGGUUAAUUAAAUAUAAAUUAAAAAUUUAAUAUUCUCGAAUUUAAAAGAGUUAUUUUAGAAUUAAUUUUAUUGUAAAAUAAAUAUUUAUAAUUCUAAGAUAGUAAUGAAAUGUUAUUCGUUUUUAAAUAUAUCUAGUUUUAAAAGAAAAAAAUUUAAUUUUUUUAUUUAAAUGAAAAUUUUAAUUAUUUAAUUUUUUUAUUUUAAAUAUAUUAUUAUUUUAGGGAUAAGCUUAAAAUAAUAUUAUUAUAAAAUAUUUAUAUAUAAAAUAAUUUAUAGGAUUAAAAUUUUUUAUUAAUAGUAAUAUGUUAUAAUUAAUUAUUUAAUAAAUAUUAUUUAUAUAUAUUUUUAAUUUAUUUAUUUUAAAAUAGUUAUUAAUUUAGAAUAAUUAGGUAUAAUGAUUAAAUUAGUAUAGGAAAUUUUAAUUUUAAAUUUUAAUUUUUAGGUUAAAAUUAGGAAUUCGGCAAAAUAUUUUUUCACCUGUUUAAUAAAAACAUGUCUUUUUGAUUAUAAUUUAAAGUCUAAUCUGCCCACUGAAAUUUUAAAUGGCCGCGGUAUUUUGACCGUGCAAAGGUAGCAUAAUCAAUAGUUUAUUAAUUGUAAACUGGAAUGAAUGAUUGGAUGAGAAAAAGACUGUCUUAUUUUAAAUUUUUUAGAAUUUUAUUUUUAAGUUAAAAAGCUUAAAUGAAAUUAAAAGACGAGAAGACCCUAUAGAGUUUAAUUUAAUAAUAAAUUUUUAUAAUUUAGAUUUGAAUUUUAAUUUUUUAUUUUAAAUUUAUUUGGGGUGAUUAAAAAAUUUAAUAAACUUUUUUUAUUUUAU